CAAACACACAACCUUUCAGUGGCUAAGUAACUAAGUUUUGCAUUCAGGAAUGAUCACUUUCACUUUCAUUUCCUCUCUCAGGGCAUCAUUUACACAUCACACUCUGGAUCUGAUUGUGGCACUCAUUCAUUCCGUAGGUGGUGCUAUGGGUGUAGUAAAUUCGUUCUCCUUCUCUGAGUCUCAGGAAGGGCUGAUCCUUUCUGCAAAUGCACCUUCCACUGCAGCUGAUGUAGAAAGGACACUUGAACUACCUGCAACUCCUCGACUGAUACUCCUUGGUGAAAAACCAGGAAGCUGCAUUCAUAAAUGGAUGAUUAGUUUUGAGGGGCAAAUAAUCUGUAAGGGCAUCUAGUCCUGUCUAGUUUCCUGUCUGGGCUUGCUGAUGUGUUUUCGACUUUCUACAUUUUCAAUGUGGAGUACCAAGCUGCAUCCACGUUGGAAUUUAUUCAGAGGUGCUUCAUUGGCAUAAAUCCUGAAAAAGGCACCAAGGGUGGACAAGUCCUAUCAAAGUGGAAAGGAAAGGUCGCUCACAAAAAGAAAUCAUGCAACACUCGGGUUGCCAGACUCCUUAAGAAGCUAAUGGAUUUUGAAUGGUUCUUCAUAUAAGUGAACGCAAUCAUUCACUAACAUACACACAUACCUCAGACAUACACUUCACACACAACGAAAAUAUGCUUUUAGUGUGAAAGUCGCACAAUUUUUUCAGGUGUUCAUUCUUGAAUACCUAAAUUUUGACUUCUUAUUUCUUGUAAUUCUUAUUUACUAAUGUUUCAAUAAUUCAUAUUCACUCAGUAUUUCUCUCAGUCACUAAUUAAUUUUUUUUCUAAUAAUAUAUUGUUUUGUUUAUUCAGUGAAACAAAAGUUUUAGUCUUUCCACUUGCAUCAGCCACUAAUUUUGAGAAUAUUUUGUGAUUAAAGUGGCUUUUGUUUUUCAAAGUUUUAAUAAAGCACGUUUUGAAGUUACACUGCAUUGUGUUCAAUUUUUAAUGUUUCAAAGGCUAUAUUUGUACAUUAUUAAAACGUUUUUUUCUUAAGCCCAUUUCUCAGUAUAAUAGCAACAUAUUUGUAGUUUACAGUUAAAAAAGUGCAAAUAAACAUUAAUUAACUGUUAAUGCUUUUGACAAUAAUUUAUUGUUAAUGUAGAAAAUAACAGCUUUAUGCUGUAUUUAUAAAAACAGUAACAAAGUGUAAAUUUCAACAACAGGAAGACACUGUUAUUAUAAAAGUAACUUGCUGGCAACCGUGCUGCCAGUUACUUAAUUUUAUUUAACGGGGCAAUUUUUAACAGUAUAGAAAAAGUUUUUGCUGUUGUUAUAUAAAGAUUGCAUUCUCUAAAUACCUGAGCUCGUCGUCACCCUUCAUUUAGUUAGCUCCAGGUCUCAGGUGAGUUUCACCUCUUUCUUUCAGUACAUUU